CAAAUUUCUCUUUCCUUGGCGUUGCCGCCCCACCAACAGGACAAGACAGCAGCCGCUGCCGUUGCCGCUGCCGCUGCCGGCUGCCGCUACCUAUGCUCAAGUGCUCAGUGCUCACCGCUCUGCCCCUGCCUCAUCACACGCGCGCACGGCGCACAGAUACCUUUUCUCUCCUCUCCCGUCCCACUCUCCUGGGCAAUCCCGGCCCGGCAUGGCGAGCCCGUCCUCGUCCCCCUCGCGGAAGGCUCUGAGCAAGAUCGCCUGCAGCCGCCUGCAGAAGGAGCUCGCGGAGUGGCAGGUCAACCCGCCCGCGGGCUUCAAGCACAGGGUCACCGACGACCUCCAGAGGUGGGUCAUCGAUGUAGCGGGGGCAGCAGGCACGCUCUACACUGGCGAAACCUACAAGUUGCAGGUGGAUUUCCCCGAGCAUUAUCCGAUGGAGGCACCUCAGGUUAUAUUUCUGCAUCCAGCACCGAUGCAUCCACACAUUUACAGCAAUGGACACAUCUGUUUAGAUUGGUCCACUGGCUAUGCCAAGAAAUUCCUAGAAAUAUUACUAACUAACCAUGAUUCCAUGAGAUGGCAACUAUCACUGGCCCCUUAAGAUAUACUGUAUGACUCGUGGUCCCCAGCGAUGACUGUCAGUUCUAUCUGUAUCAGCAUAUUAUCUAUGCUGUCCAGCUCGCCAGAAAAGCAACGCCCAGCUGAUAAUGAUCGCUAUGUCAAGAACUGUCGCAAUGGGAGGUCUCCGAAAGAGACCAGGUGGUGGUUCCAUGAUGACACCGUGUGAUCGGUGUUCCGAUUAUUGUUGUCCUGUAUGCAUUUAGUUGCCAGACUAUGGGAGAUGGACUUAUUUCGAACGACCCAUUUGACCAGAAAUUAACAUGCUCUUGUGGUUUGUAGAUGAAUGUGCAUCAGCGUCAGGCCUGUACUUUCUGAUUCUUACACCGUCGAUGAUAUAUAGAAUAAUGUUUGUAUCUUGUCAAUUUACGGAACAGACAUGAAAUUCAAUGCAGGUCACUGGUUUCUGAAUC